rnacentral:rRNA from 1 species
UACAUGGGGUGCAAACGUUGCUCGGAAUUAUUGGGCGUAAAGAGCUCGUAGGCGGUUUGUCACGUCUGCUGUGAAAACUCGGGGCUUAACUCCGGGCCUGCAGUGGGUACGGGCAGACUAGAGUGCGGUAGGGGAGACUGGAAUUCCUGGUGUAGCGGUGAAAUGCGCAGAUAUCAGGAGGAACACCGGUGGCGAAGGCGGGUCUCUGGGCCGUAACUGACGCUGAGGAGCGAAAGCGUGGGGAGCAAACAGG